GCCCGGCUAGCUCAAUCGGUAGAGCGUGAGACUCUUAGUCCUUCACGUCCUGAAACAACGCGAUUGGUGUACAUCUCAAGGUUGUGGGGUAUGUACAUCCUCUUAACAGCGAAACGAAAAUGUACUAACAGUAUCAUUAGUUCGACCCCCACGUCGGGCU
rnacentral:tRNA from 1 species